rnacentral:rRNA from 1 species
UACGAAGGGUGCAAGCGUUGCUCGGAAUUAUUGGGCGUAAAAGGGUUGGUAGGUGGUCUUGUUUGUCUAAGGUGAAAUCCCAUGGCUUAACUGUGGAAGUGCCUUAGAAACGGCAAGACUAGAGUCCUAGAGGGGUUUGUGGAAUUCCCGGUGUAGCGGUGAAAUGCGUAGAGAUCGGGAGGAACACCAGCGGCGAAGGCGGCAAACUGGAUAGGCACUGACACUCAACAACGAAAGCGUGGGGAGCAAACAGG